UACGGAGGGUGCAAGCGUUAAUCGGAAUUAUUGGGCGUAAAGGGUGCGUAGGCGGUCUGACAAGUCUGAUGUGAAAUCUAUGGGCUCAACUCAUAGUCUGCAUCGGAAACUGCCGGGCUUGAGUGUGGGAGAGGUGAGUGGAAUUCCUGGUGUAGCGGUGAAAUGCGUAGAUAUCAGGAGGAACACCUGUGGCGAAAGCGGCUCACUGGACCAUAACUGACGCUGAUGCACGAAAGCUAGGGGAGCAAACAGG
rnacentral:rRNA from 1 species